rnacentral:lncRNA from 1 species
UCGGUUGAGGGCUCUUCCUGAUGGCAUUGAUCCCCUGGCACUGUUGGCCUACACCGUGCGAGGGCUGAGCAUGCUUCUGCCCGCUGUGGGCCAGAGAAGUCUUGAAGCCUUCGGCUUGCCUGGGUGGCAGGUCAGGAUGAUAAUCUGAAAACUGUCAUCAUAAGAAACAG